GCCCCUGCUUAGUGGUGUAAUGGGUCAGUGCGUCUGGCUGCUAACCAGAAGGUUGGCGGUUCGAGCCCACCCAGGGAUG